UUUGGCUCUGAUCCUUUGUGCAGAUACCACCAACUAACAGUGUAUGUAACUAUUUUUGCUGCCUUAGUCCUCCAUACCAGCUUCCAUAUGGGCCUGACGACACCUCUCCUAGAUAAGGGUUGUUUUACAUUUGAGGUUCAGCCUGCCCAAAUCUGUCCUCUCUGAAUUGCACUUGAAUCAACAUUGCAAUCUCAUUCCAUUCCGAAUCUUGGACGGGCCUCCUGACCAAG
rnacentral:misc_RNA from 1 species